AAUAAGGCUCAGCUGGGAACCGCCUCCUCUUCCAGCAUCCAACCAGAUUUUCACACCAGUGAGGCUAAUUGUCACCAGGCUGAGCACGUUUGGUAAUUUUGGCCACAGACACUCAGAGACCGAGGCACAUAGCUCCCGCUGAGAGUCCUGAACUGAUUAAAAGCAACAUGAGGUGCCUUCUGGAAGGGAAGAGGGGAGUUCCUGCCUCCAAGCCCCAGAAGUGGUUUUGAUGACCCAGAGCUGUUGGAGUCAGUGGGAGGUAUGAAUGCUCAUCAGGCAUUCAGCUCCAGCCAGGAUUCAGCAAAUUGGAAGCACAGUGGAAG